UACGUAGGGCGCGAGCGUUGUCCGGAUUUAUUGGGCGUAAAGCGCUCGUAGGCGGCUUGUCGCGUCGUCCGUGAAAACUUGGGGCUCAACCCCAAGCUUGCGGUCGAUACGGGCAGACUAGAGUGCGGUAGGGGAGAGUGGAAUUCCUGGUGUAGCGGUGAAAUGCGCAGAUAUCAGGAGGAACACCGGUGGCGAAGGCGGGUCUCUGGGCCGUAACUGACGCUGAGGAGCGAAAGCGUGGGGAGCGAACAGG
rnacentral:rRNA from 1 species